rnacentral:lncRNA from 1 species
CACUCAGGGAAACUGGAGGCAGAGAAACUGGAAGCGUCUGCAUUUCACAAUAAAACCCUUCAGUGUCAUUCAUUAGUUUGCUGCGCUCUCCUCUGUGCUUCUCUGCCGCACCAACAUCGAGAGGGCCGGAGGUGGACAGCAUGCUUUGCGUCACCUCACCUCGGGCCUCCUCACAGUGAGAACUGACAUAGAGGAAACUGUCACCGCUGUGCAUCAUGAACGGGGACGGCAAGAACAUCUCCGCAUGCACAGGUUGGCUG